UACGAAGGGGGCUAGCGUUGCUCGGAAUUACUGGGCGUAAAGGGGGCGUAGGCGGACAGUUUAGUCAGAGGUGAAAGCCCAGGGCUCAACCUUGGAAUUGCCUUUGAUACUGGCUGUCUUGAGUACGGGAGAGGUGUGUGGAACUCCGAGUGUAGAGGUGAAAUUCGUAGAUAUUCGGAAGAACACCAGUGGCGAAGGCGACACACUGGCCCGUUACUGACGCUGAGGCUCGAAAGCGUGGGGAGCAAACAGG
rnacentral:rRNA from 1 species